rnacentral:rRNA from 1 species
UACGUAGGGUGCAAGCGUUGUCCGGAAUUAUUGGGCGUAAAGAGCUCGUAGGCGGUCUGUUGCGUCGGCUGUGAAAACCCGAGGCUCAACCUCGGGCCUGCAGCCGAUACGGGCAGACUAGAGUUCGGCAGGGGAGACUGGAAUUCCUGGUGUAGCGGUGAGAUGCGCAGAUAUCAGGAGGAACACCGGUGGCGAAGGCGGGUCUCUGGGCCGAUACUGACGCUGAGGAGCGAAAGCGUGGGGAGCGAACAGG